rnacentral:rRNA from 1 species
AUUGAACGCUGGCGGCAGGCCUAACACAUGCAAGUCGAACGAGUGGCGGACGGGUGAGUAAUGAAUGGGAAACUGCCUGAUGGAGGGGGAUAACUACUGGAAACGGGAGCUAAAAACGCCAACCGUCGGAGGAGCCCAGAUGGGUAGAGCUAGUAGGUGGGGUAAAGGCUCACUUAGGCGACGAUCCCUAGCUGGUCGGCGAGGAAGACCAGCCACACGGGAAUUGAGACACGGUCCAGACCCCUACGGGAGGCAGCAGUGGGGAAUAUUGCACAAUGGGCGCAAGCCUGAUGCAGCCAUGCCGCGUGUAUGAAGAAGGCCUUCGGGUGGUAAAGUACUUUCAGCGGGGAGGCGUUACCCGCAGAAGAAGCACCGGCUAACUCCGUGCCAGCAGCCGCGGUAAUUC